rnacentral:rRNA from 1 species
GUACCGUAAACCGACACAGGUAGUCGAGGAGAGUAUCCUAAGGUGAGCGAGCGAACUCUCGUUAAGGAACUCGGCAAAAUGACCCCGUAACUUCGGGAGAAGGGGUGCUGACUUCGGUCAGCCGCAGUGAAUAGGCCCAAGCGACUGUUUAUCAAAAACACAGGUCUCUGCAAAAUCGUAAGAUGAAGUAUAGGGGCUGACGCCUGCCCGGUGCUGGAAGGUUAAGAGGAUGGGUUAGCUUCGGCGAAGCUCAGAAUUGAAGCCCCAGUAAACGGCGGCCGUAACUAUAACGGUCCUAAGGUAGCGAAAUUCCUUGUCGGGUAAGUUCCGACCCGCACGAAAGGCGUAACGAUUUGGGCACUGUCUCAACGAGAGACUCGGUGAAAUUUUAGUACCUGUGAAGAUGCAGGUUACCCGCGACAGGACGGAAAGACCCCAUGGAGCUUUACUGUAGUUUGAUAUUGAGUGUUUGUACCACAUGUACAGGAUAGGUAGGAGCCGAUGAGACCGGA